rnacentral:rRNA from 1 species
AUUGAACGCUGGCGGCAUGCCUUACACAUGCAAGUCGAACGGUAACGGGCCUUCGGGUGCCGACGAGUGGCGAACGGGUGAGUAAUGUAUCGGAACGUACCUUUCAGUGGGGGAUAACGUAGCGAAAGGUACGCUAAUACCGCAUAUUCUGUGAGCAGGAAAGCAGGGGAUCGCAAGAACUUGCGCUGAUUGAGCGGCGGAUAUCAGAUUAGCUAGUUGGUGAGGUAAAGGCUCACCAAGGCGACGAUCUGUAGCGGGUAUGAGAGGAUGAUCCGCCACACUGGAACUGAGACACGGUCCAGACUCCUACGGGAGGCAGCAGUGGGGAAUUUUGGACAAUGGGGGCAACCCUGAUCCAGCCAUGCCGCGUGAGUGAAGAAGGCCUUCGGGUUGUAAAGCUCUUUCGGCCGGGAAGAAAUCGUAUCAGCUAAUACCUGGUGCGGAUGACGGUACCGGCAUAAGAAGCACCGGCUAACUACGUGCCAGCCGCCGCGGUAACAC